rnacentral:rRNA from 1 species
AGAGUUUGAUCAUGGCUCAGGAUAAACGCUGGCGGCGCACAUAAGACAUGCAAGUCGAACGGACCAAACCAUUAGUUUACUAUUGGAGAGGUUAGUGGCGGACUGGUGAGUAACACGUAAGCAACCUGCCUAUUAGAGGGGAACAACAGUUAGAAAUGACUGCUAAUACCGCAUAUGCCAUAAUUAUCGCAUGAUAGAAGUGGGAAAGAAGAAAUUCGCUGAUAGAUGGGCUUGCGUCUGAUUAGAUAGUUGGUGGGGUAAAGGCCUACCAAGUCAGCGAUCAGUAGCCGGACUGAGAGGUUGAACGGCCACAUUGGGACUGAGAUACGGCCCAGACUCCUACGGGAGGCAGCAGUCGGGAAUAUUGCGCAAUGGAGGAAACUCUGACGCAGUGACGCCGCGUAUAGGAAGAAGGUUUUCGGAUUGUAAACUAUUGUCGUUAGGGAAGAUAAAAGACAGUACCUAAGGAGGAAGCUCCGG